ensembl:snRNA LOC120103233 U6 spliceosomal RNA
GUGCUCGCUUCGGCAGCACAUAUACUAAAAUUGGAAUGAUACAGAGAAGAUUAGCAAAGUUACACAGCGUGACUAUAAAUGCCUAAAGGUGAAUCUUUAAAAU